rnacentral:lncRNA from 1 species
GCUUAAACACGGACGUGCGCCUGAGGAACUUCUGAAUCUGAGGGCCUAAACAUGGACGCCUGAGGCACUUCCGGAUCCUAGAGCCUAAACAUGGAUGCUGAGGAACUUCCGGGCCCAGGGCCUUAAACAUGGACGUGCAUCUGAGGAACUUCCGGAUCCAGGAGCUUAAACAUGGACGUGCACCUGAGGAACUUUGGAUCCGGGGGCCUAAACAUAGACGUGCCCCCGAGGAACUUCCAGAUCUGGGGACCUAAAUAUGGACAUGCACCUGAGGAACUUCCGUAUGCUACGGCCUAAACAUGGAAGACUGAGGAACUUCCGGAUCCGAGGGCCCAAAGAUGGACGUCACCUGAGGAACUUCCGGAUCUGGGGGCCUAAACAUGGAUGCCUGAGGCAUUCCAGAUCCUGGGGCCUAAACAUGGACGCCUGAGGCACUUUCAGAUCCUAGAGCCUAAACAUGGAUGCUGAGGAGCUUCCAGACCCGGGGGCUUAAACAUGGACGUGCACCUGAGGACCUCUGGAUCCGUGGGCCUAAAUAUGGACGCCUAAGGAACUUCUGGAUCCGGGGGCCUAAACAUGGACACCCGAGGAACUUCCGGAUCCUAGAGUCUAAAUAUGGAUGUGCACCUGAGGCACUUCUGGAUGCUACGGCCUAAACAUGGAUGUGCGCCUGAGGAACUUCCGGAUGCGGGCACCUAAACAUGGACGUGCACCUUUGAAACUUCUGGAUCCGGAUCCCGGGGCCUAAACAUGGACGCUUGAGGCAUUUCCAGAUCCGAGGGCCUAAACAUGGACAUGUCCCUGGAACUUCUGGGUCCUUGUGCCUAUAAAGGGCAGGGCGUGACUCUCAGAAGG